rnacentral:lncRNA from 1 species
GUGUGUAGUUGGUGUUAUCUCAGAAGCGAAAGAAAAAGGCACAGUAAAACGCCACAAGGCAAGAUACGUUUCCCUAGCCUUUGAGAAGCUCCUUCUCCAUUUAUGAAUCUCUCCUCCACAUGUAAUUCGGGAUUGCCAGCUGAUUGCACUCAGACUCAGCCCCCCCUUACAGCAAUACAAGGAGGAAGGCAACAGCUACUUGUUAAUUAGCUGGCUCCUGUUCACAGCACACAAGCCAGAGUGCCUUGGCCAGCUUUGGGUUUAGAUCCUGAAGCUCUUUUUAAGAGUUACUGUGAGGACGCUAUUCCUUCCGUAGGCUGCUUGAAUAAUCCCAUCACCUGCCACACUCGUGAGACUUAAUGAGUUGUCGGCACCUCUGAAUCUUUUCCUUCUUGAGAGAGUUGGCUGCACCCCUUUAAAGUGAAAGCCCCGAGCAAAGGAUCCUUCUGGGAUCACUGCCUCGAGAGGAACACAGCCCUCAAAGGGGCUGUGAACGUGUUUGCCCUUGCUUUAAUGUGGCUGCUUACUCCUCUCUAAACAUCACAAAGAUCGCCGAUGAACGUCUGCUGCUUGGCAUGCUGAAAAGCCAGUGGAAAUACUUGUUUUUCACUGUGGAGCAGGGGAGCAAUGCAAUAGAUGAUGCAACUGCAAAUGCUCCUGUACUGAAGCGCAGAGGACCGCUCCAGAGCUGCCGCAAACUCAGAUGCUUUACUGGGGUCCCUUGAAUACUGUGCAGCACACCCAGGUUCCCUGGAUGGUGGCAAUCAGGAGCAGCUGGUCACAAGGAGCAGCCUUCAGCAAGGUCUCCUCCAGCCAGUUGAGUAAAGCUAGAACUGCCCACCCAGCCACUCCAGGAUUUGGCCAAGUGUUUUGAGGCUCAUGAGUUGGUUAAAAGCAAGCCUUCACGCGCUGAGGGUAUACCUACAAGCAGCUUCUUGCCAUCUGGUGGUCCAAGCACUGUCCAGUUCUCAUCCAUCUGGACAUUGACUGUCCAUCAAGCUCUCAUGUGUCGCAAAUGCAAAGUGCUGCAUGCACACAGUUCAAAUAAAAGUCAGAAACUGACAAAAAUGUUUAAUAUU